GACGCUGGCGGUGUGCUUCACACAUGCAAGUCGAACGAGGUAGCAAUACCUAGUGGCGGACGGGUGAGUAACGCGUGGGAAUCUGCCUUUAGAUGGGGGAUAACGGGUCGAAAGACUCGCUAAUACCGCAUAUGACGAAAGUUGAAAGGAGUAAUCCGUCUAAAGAUGAGCCCGCGUCCGAUUAGCUAGUUGGUAGAGUAAAAGCCUACCAAGGCGACGAUCGGUAGCUGGUCUGAGAGGAUGAUCAGCCACAAUGGGACUGAGACACGGCCCAUACUCCUACGGGAGGCAGCAGUGGGAAUUUACGCAAUGGGCGAAAGCCUGACGUAGCGACACCGCGUGAGCGAAGAAGCCUCUUGGGGUGUAAAGCUCUGUCAGCUGGAACGAAAAAAUGACGGUACCAGCAGAGGAAGCAUCGGCUAACUACGUG
rnacentral:rRNA from 1 species